AAGUCUCCGAGAAGUUGUAACAACAGUUUACUUACAACAACAGAACUAUACAUUUUUAUUAACAGAUCAAAAGGCUGAAGCCUUAUAACUAUGAUGUAAGUAUCAACACAUCAGUAAUAUAUAUGGGUUAUCAUGAUGAAAAGUGGCUUCAUACACAUAAUGGAUGAAAAUGAAAAUAGACAGAGGCAACUUCUUAGUUCUUUACCAAAUUCAAUUUAUCAAUACACUUCAUAACUUGUAUUCCAAAAGCACUUAAAAAAAUCAUACUCAAAAAAUUGUUUGAGAGGAAAUUUCCUGUGGUAAACAUGGUACUGAAAGAAAAAUGUUUUCUUUCAACUCUAAAAGAAGAUAACCAUAUGACAUAUACAUCUUAAGGCAAAACCUCUAAAGUAAAGAGUCAAAUCGAACAAGUGUUUAAUGAUUACCAGAGUUUUCUACUGGCGUACAAGUUAUCAACCAUCGUUCAUGCAUAUCUAACUUUCAAAUACUGUAAACAUAUUCAUUCUGGAGUACUCACAUUUUAGCAUAUAACCGAAUUUUAACAGAUUAGCACAAUUAUUGACUGGUGCAUUAAUUAAAGUUGCCAUAGAAAACAAUAUAAGAUAUUUCAAUUGGUGCAAUCAAAAUUUGGCAGAAGGCUUUUUUAAAUGAAAAAAAAAAACAUUCAACAAAAUUUACUGCUAAAAUAUAUAUGUUUACAGUACAGGUUUUGGGUUGUUCCAAUAAUGUUGUACAGGUUUUGGGUUGUUCCAAUAAUGUAUUGUUUCACGAUAAUAACAGGUACAUAUAUUUCUAUAGUACUAGUAUGAUUAGAUAUAGUAUACAGUAUCUAAAAGUAAACAAUGUUUUCUAUAUUCCACAUAGAUUAUUAGAAUAGUAGUGUUUAAUUUUUUUUUGUUUAUUUUGAAGCUAUAGGAUGUAACUGAAUAAAGUAUAUCAGUGAAACUUCAUUAAUGAAGUGAUUUGCUAUUUUAAUUUUAUUUUGUUGUUUGAACAUUAACAUUAAGAGUAUAUGCUAUUUUUCCAGAAGAGUUUGGCAAAAAAAAAAAAAAUCUGGCCUUUAAGUAAUUGUCUUCUUGUUAAAAAAA